rnacentral:rRNA from 1 species
GCGCAGGCGGCUGGCUAAGUCCUGUGUGAAAUCCCACGGCUCAACCGUGGAAAGCCACAGGAUACUGGCGAGCUAGAGACGGGUAGAGGCGAGUGGAAUUCCCGGUGUAGCGGUGGAAUGCGUAGAUAUCGGGAAGAACACCAGUGGCGAAGGCGACUCGCUGGGCCCGUUCUGACGCUCAGGCCCGAAAGCGUGGGGAGCAAACA